rnacentral:rRNA from 1 species
AACGAACGCUGGCGGCAUGCCUAACACAUGCAAGUCGAACGAGACCUUCGGGUCUAGUGGCGCACGGGUGCGUAACGCGUGGGAACCUGCCCUUAGGUUCGGAAUAAAUCCCCGAAAGGGGUGCUAAUACCGGAUAAUGUCUUCGGACCAAAGAUUUAUCGCCUUUGGAUGGGCCCGCGUUGGAUUAGCUCGUUGGUAGGGUAAAAGCCUACCAAGGCGACGAUCCAUAGCUGGUCUGAGAGGAUGAUCAGCCACACUGGGACUGAGACACGGCCCAGACUCCUACGGGAGGGAGCAGUGGGGAAUAUUGGACAAUGGGCGAAAGCCUGAUCCAGCAAUGCGGCGUGAGUGAUGAAGGCCUUAGGGUUGUAAAGCCCGUUUACCCGGGAUGAUAAUGACAGUACCGGGAGAAUAAGCUCCGGCUAACUCCGUG